GAGGAACUCAUUUCGAACUGUAUGAUCUCCUUAAAUAAAGAUGCUGGAUAUUAAUGAUUUCAUCCCAGAAAUCUCUCAGCUGAAGAAAGAGGUGACGUCACUUAAGACAAAGCUGAUGGAGAGAGAGGACAGGUUACAGGAGCUGGAAAAGGUUUCCUGUCAAUCUUCAGUGUGUGUGACUGAUGGGAUCUCCACAGAAUGUCAGGAUUCAGUGUGGAGCGGCAGAGAUCAGUCCACACCACAGCGACUGCUGGACAAACUCUCUGAACAGAGAUCCAGAGACACACAGGACUCACAGCUCACUUUACUCUGUUCUACUGAUUGUAUUCAGGGUGA